rnacentral:rRNA from 1 species
UACGGGGGGAGCAAGCGUUGUUCGGAUUUACUGGGCGUAAAGGGCGCGUAGGCGGUCACGACAAGUCAGUUGUGAAAUCUCCGGGCUUAACUCGGAACGGUCAGCUGAUACUGUCGGACUAGAGUGCAGAAGGGGCAACUGGAAUUCUCGGUGUAGCGGUGAAAUGCGUAGAUAUCGAGAGGAACACCUGCGGCGAAGGCGGGUUGCUGGGCUGACACUGACGCUGAGACGCGAAGGCGUGGGGAGCGAACGGG